AAAGACGCUGAGACGUCAGAGCAAACACACAACAGGAAACGGAAUGCCAAUCGCUGGUCUUACAUCCAACUCCAAACAAAAGACACAAACAAGGAAACCGAAUGCCAAUCGCUGGACUUACAUCAGACUCCACACACACAACCCACAGGAAAUCGACUGCCAAUCGUUGGACUUACGUCAGACUCCAAGCACACAACAAACAAACAAGGAAACCGAAUUCCAAUCGUCGGGCUUACAUCAGACUCCAAACAAACAAACAAACACCAGAAAAAGAAAAAGGGUUGAGCACACAGACUAAAAGGGAGUCGGG
rnacentral:lncRNA from 1 species